CCUCGCCCUCGCCACAAGGGUCAAAACCUACAUUGGGUUCACGGUGAACCCUAGACGGCGAAUCAGGCAACACAACGGGGAAUUGAUGUGCGGAGCGUGGAGGACCAAGCGAAAGCGACCUUGGGAAAUGGUCUUCUGCAUCUACGGCUUCCCCUCCCAUGUCUCCGCUCUUCAGCCAUUAUGCCGUCAAUGCAUGCUUGGCUCCGCUAUAUUCAGUUGAAGGAAUGCAGGUGAUCACA